rnacentral:miRNA from 1 species
UUUGUUUGUAUAUUUAUUUUGAGACAAAGUCUCAAUACGUAGCCUUGGAAGAUCUAAAUUUCACUAUGUAGACCAGACUGUCCUCAAACUCAUAGAGAUCCACCUGACUC